rnacentral:snoRNA from 1 species
GGUGAAGCAGUGAUGAUGAAUUGCUUAAUCCCAGCUCAUUUUGAGGCCUUCUUUGUGUAAGGUCAGGGAAAUUAAUCUCUUCCGAAGAAUGUAUCUGAGCUUCGCC